UACAGAGGGUCUCAAGCGUUUGUUCGGAUUCAUUGGGCGUAAAGGGUGCGUAGGCUGGCGCGGUAAGUCGGGUGUGAAAUCUUGGAGCUUAACUCCGAAACUGCAUUCGAUACUGCCGUGCUUGAGGACUGGAGAGGAGACUGGAAUUACGGUGUAGCGGUGAAAUGCGUAGAUAUCGUAAGGAAGACCAGUGGCGAAGCGGGUCUCU
rnacentral:rRNA from 1 species